UGGGGAAUUUUGGACAAUGGGCGCAAGCCUGAUCCAGCCAUUCCGCGUGCAGGAUGAAGGCCCUCGGGUUGUAAACUGCUUUUGUACGGAACGAAAAGGCCUAGGCUAAUACCUUGGGCUCAUGACGGUACCGUAAGAAUAAGCACCGGCUAACUACGUGCCAGCAGCCGCGGUAAUACGUAGGGUGCAAGCGUUAAUCGGAAUUACUGGGCGUAAAGCGUGCGCAGGCGGUGAUGUAAGACGGAUGUGAAAUCCCCGGGCUCAACCUGGGAACUGCAUUCGUGACUGCAUCGCUGGAGUGCGGCAGAGGGGGAUGGAAUUCCGCGUGUAGCAGUGAAAUGCGUAGAUAUGCGGAGGAACACCGAUGGCGAAGGCAAUCCCCUGGGCCUGCACUGACGCU
rnacentral:rRNA from 1 species